AUAAAAACAUAUAAAUAAAAAAUCAACAAUAGCAGUAACAAGGUCCACUACAGCACCUUGUUACUGCUAUUGUUGAUUUUUUAUUUAUAUGU